rnacentral:rRNA from 1 species
UUAGAGUUUGAUCCUGGCUCAGGGCGAACGCUGGCGGCGUGCCUUAGACAUGCAAGUCGAGCGGUAGGCGUCCUUCGGGACGCUGAGAGCGGCGAACGGCGGAGUAACACGUGGGUAACCUGCCCCGAAGACUGGGACAACCCGGGGAAACUCGGGCUAAUACCGGAUGUGGAUGCGCGGGCUUUAGCGUGUGCAUCUAAAUGGGUUUCCGCUUCGGGAUGGGCCCGCGGCCUAUCAGGUUGUUGGUGAGGUAACGGCUCACCAAGCCGACGACGGGUAGCCGGUCUGAGAGGAUGAUCGGCCCGAGGGGCACUGAGACACGGGCCCCACUCCUACGGGAGGCAGCAGUCGGGAAUUUUGGGCAAUGGGCGCAAGCCUGACCCAGCGACGCCGCGUGGAGGACGAAGCCCUUCGGGGUGUAAACUCCUUUUAGUGGGGACGAACGCAGACGGUACCCACAGAAUAAGCCACGGCCAACUACGUGCCAGCAGCCGCGGUAAUACGUAGGUGGCGAGCGUUACCCGGAAUUACUGGGUGUAAAACGUGGGUAGGUGGGGUUAGUAAGUUCAUUGUGAAAUCCUGCGGCUCAACCGCAGGGCCGCAAUGAAAACUGCUAAUCUAGGGUAAAGUCGAGGUGAACGGAAUUCCCGUGUACCGGUGAAAUGGGUAGAUAUCGGGAGGAACACCAUUGGCGAAAG